AAAUUCAACUCAAGUCCUGUUCAAACAAAAACAUUUUCAUUUCAUUUUUAAUACUGUUACUCAUUUAUUUUGAGUAUAGAGUGGCAACUGGUUGUUUUGGUGGCACGUUACCAGGGCAAUAUGAUUGAGCGCCCGGGCGUACACGUGCAGCCGGCAUGUGUCAGCCAUGGCAUGUGGAAAUUGCAGGGCAUUUGCGAAACGGGCUGCGUGCGCUUUCUCACUGCUGGAUGCUCGGUGCUUUUUAAAUAAAUACAUUUCUGCAUUUGUGUAUUUGCCCAGAUGCAAAGAAAAUAUCGGCAGUCGCUAAAGGCAUCGAGGCAAACAAAUAUUCAAAUGGUAGCGCUGGCAGCAGUAGAAAGAGCAACUGCUGCAGCCAAAAGGCUACGCACAAUUUACCAAUGGGCACGGCGAUGCGAAUCAGGAACAUGCCAUACACACACACGCACAGACAUAGAGCAUAUGUGCAGCUGGAGUUGAAGUGCGCCAAAAUUAUUCGUGUGCUCUUACGGAUUGCAAUGAGAUAGCAACCCACAUUGCGUAUACGAUACGUUGCCACCACCAAUUCAGUGAAGCGCAUACGAGUAUACAAAUGUAACUCGAUACAGUUACACAUACAUAAAUACCUAGAUAUGUGUAUAUUUUUCAAAAUGGAUUCCUUUGCUCCACGUAUUUGAGCGUCAUAUUGUACCGUUAUGCAUGUGUAUGCAAUGUUAGCAAGAUUUGACACUCAUUGAGCUGCCUGAUAGCAGUUGGCAGCCAAUGCAUGUGGAACUGAUGCCAUUGGGAUGCAUUCGCAUUCGCAUUCGCAUUCGCUGGAUACUGCUGCAAUGACAUGACAUUUUCAUGUUAAACACAAGCUCUGAACUGAAUUGGAUUUGUCAAGCGGGUAAAAAUGCGCACUGAACUGCUCUAACAAUGCGAGAAUCAAGCAUUUACAUAUGCUGAAUGUUGCUUUGAAUGAUUCUAAGUAGGUUUUGAUGCUUUCGAAUAAAAGAAUACCAGAAAUAAACAAUCCGUUAUUAGUAUAUUAA